CUCAAUUUUUGAAACCCUAGCCUCCCUCACAUUCAUCGCUCUACUGGAUUCAUCAUCUUCUCCAAACAAUUCAACAAAUAGGUACACUCCUUGACAAACCCUAGAUAUCAACACGUCUGUUCUUCUUCUACGUUGAUUCAUCAUCCAUUAUUUAUCGAACCCAACGAUGGCAACGAAGUCUUCCGUAUAUGUGAAGGCCGUAAUCAACGAUGGUGAUGGCGGCGCUGAGUGUUACGUCGCUGAACCCUAAAUCACUAACGAAGUUUCAAGUUGGUGUUUUUGUUUCAGAUGAGUAAUCCGAUCGGCAAUUUACCUUUGGUUGUUUAAUAACACUCUUACCCUUUUUCGUUUUGUUAUCUACUUAUCUCCGGUUAUUUUAUUUGUGUCUCUGGCUUUGUUAACAGGGUUAGCGACGAUGGCGUUUUAGCUUCCGGUAGGUUUUCUGGUCAUCCAUUUACCUUCGAUUAGGUAACACUUUUUCCUUCUUUUAUUUUGUUAUUAGGCGCUGCUGCAUGAAAAAGUUGAAUGUUAUACUACAUUUGGUUAAGUGCAUACGCACUUACUUCCGAUAUUGAAAAAGUGGAAAAAGUUCUUAAAAUAUGGAAAGCAAUUCUAUUAAAAUAUGGAAAGCAAUUCUAACCUUGGAAUCGAUUGGAAUGCUUGUGUUAUUGCAUCUGGUCGGUAUAUUAAAUCUGGGUUGCCAGAUAAAGCUUUUGAAAUGCUGAAAACAUCAGAAGAAUAUAAACAUGGAAACUCGAAAGGGGCAGCUUGGGAAAAUCUCAUUAGUACCUAUGCUUCUAUUGGUAAAAAAGACCUAUGCUUUAUAUGACACCCAUUGCUUCAUGGUUCAAUCUUCUAUCAGGUCUGAUUUCAAUCUUUCAACCCUAUUAGUGUAUUCAGAUUGCGUGUUGUUAGUGUAUUCAGUUUUGCACUACGCUGGAUAACUACUGAUGUUUCUUACCGUGUGUCAUUGAAACGUGUUCUUCAUCAAGUAUGUUUUUUUAUUUUGAUAAAAUAGGCACAUGGUUUGCUUUUUUUUUUUCAUUUAACAUUAGUAAUUACCUUAUUUGGCAUGAUUAACCCAAUUAUACAAAUUGUUGAAAAUCUAUGGUUCUAAUGAACUGAAUAUAGCUUAAAAAUGACAGAUAUGUUUGGGUUUUGUGAGCUAUCCUUUAGUAGUUGCCGAACAAAUUUGGAUAAUAAACAUGUCAUUGUCAAGUUGUUUCUGCAAUUUUUGUUAUUCAUCAAGGAGUCAAAUAUGAUUACCAAAAUUUCUGUUUACCAAUAUUUGUAUAACAUUUCAUUUAGAUACUAUUACUAAGGUGUUUAUUUUUUUGUUUCUUUUUGGGAAGGCAUCGAUUACGCCAAAUGCAGAAUAUAAGCUUCCAGCUCAACUAAACCAGAGAUAUGUUAAAGGUAUUCUGAAAGAGGCAUUUAGAAUAAACUUUCCGGUUAAGUGGGUACACUCCACAUCAACCAUGAAUUAAGAAAUUAUUGUUUUUAAGCACUUUUUCUCUGGGAAUUAAUGGCAAGGCAUUUGUUUAGUGAUUUCCAUACUUAUCUAUAUCUUCUGAGGAAAGUAUAUUUAUUGUUGCUUUUGGAUGAUGAUGCUUUUGUUUUGCAUGUAAUGUUUCUUAGUCACUAAA